AAAAAUAUUUUUAAUUCGAUACCCAUCAAUCAAAUGAACAUUGACUGUAAUAGUAUACUGGUUUGACGAUUCUACUUGCCGUAGAACAUCAUUUACGACCAAAAAUCUUUUUCAGAUGCAAUAUAUAACAUUUUAUAGCAUCAUGCAUUAAUCUCAUUCAUUAAAGAUAAAUUCCAAUCUGUGAAAACAAAAUUCAGUGCGACUAUAGUGGCAGCGAGUGACAAACUUGAAGGCCACAGAUUCUCCUAAUGUUUAUUGAUCUUCCAUUUUGGGACGUUGCUUCAAAACCAAGUCAGUGCCAGUCAUUCUCUUAUAAAUAUCUCGAACGUCGCAAGUCAAGGUUUCAAAAUGGGAAGUGGCAUCUACGCUUUUACUGAUGUAGCAUUGAUCUUUGGUGCCAUCUGUCACUGGCUCAUAUAUUUCCUGGACUCUAGAAAAUGAUUCCACUACAGGCCCAAGAAGCUUGAGACCAGGUGCGAUUUCCGACAAAGGGUUAGCUGUCUCAACGAUUGUGGAAAUGAUAGCCAAGUAAUAUCCCUUAGGGCAAACAUUGUGAACAGAUGAAAUUCCUGCAAUAUAAAUGUCGUGCUUACGUUUGACUUGGUUCUGUGGAAUAAUAAUUUGAACGGAAUCCAAAUUAUCUGUGUUAGGAAUGGGAUGGUUCAAGAUACAAAUAGCUCGCACAAGGCGUCCAACUGAACGAACUUUUUCACGAAAAUAAGAUGGGUCCCCAAUUAUUUGCUUAGCCUUUGCAACUUGAUCGCCACUUCGAACACCGAUUGCGACACCAUCAUCCCCAUAAACAAUUUCAUCGACAGGCUGGUUAAGCAUGUAAGUACCACCGUAAAUUGCACUUAA